AAAAAAAAAAAAAAAAAAAGUGCCGAGAAAACCUGGGAGAGGAGCCAAAUCUUCCCAGAUGCGACUGAAAACAGCCGUGUGGUGGACGCCGUUCUCCGAGGGGGACACCGGAGCCAGUAGAGAGACGCUCUUCAUCUCCAAGCUGCACGUCAGAGGAAGUGUUUAACCGAGAAACGUCGGAGAGAAAGACGCUGUGUAAAGUCCUCAACCGUAAGGAACCCACACGUAGCGUAGAAAAGGCGCAGACGACAGACGGUUGCAGACUUUUCCUUCACAUGCCUGGUGGCAGCCAACCGCGCCGCUUCGAUGGAGAACUGCAGCAGCGAAAGAACAAAUUGUAGAGGACGCCGUUACCUCAGUGUCACCUGGGAGAUAAACUAGGUAGUCCUCAACCUCCUCUGCAUCCCACACAACCCUUCUGCUUUCCCCCCAGCGAGUCGCCAUGGCUUCGGUGCGCUUCACGGUGACGCCCACCAAGGCGGAAGACCUCCCGGGGCUGUCCGACACGUCGCCGGACAUCAGCUCCCGGUCCGGCGCCCGCGUGCGCUUCGGUUCCCGGGAGAGCGUCAACCGGAGCGACCCGCUCAGCGAGGGGUCCGGAGGCGUGACGACAGGAGGAGGCGCCGACACGUCCGAACGCAGCAGUAUGGAUCAAGGUGAUUAA